CGAGGGACAGCCCCUGAACUGCGGCGGGGACCGGAGAACAGCGGCCCAGUGGAGGCACGGGGGCCCGGAGCAGGAUUUUCCCGGACCGGGGGGCGCUUCACCCGGGCUUUCCCCCGUACCUCCCAUUCACGUGGCGGAUGCAGACCCACGGCCGCUGGUGGGGAGAGUUUAAGGGAAAAAAAUUACGAGGCUUCGACCGUUCCUAGGUUUAUCGGUUUAUUUUUCAGCAGAACGACUGGGGCCCUUCCCAAAGGCCAAAACAAAUUUCAGCUCCAAGCCCGGCGGGCAGUCCCGCUUCUCGCUCCCAUCAGCGCCUGCAGCCAUACACCCGCGCACACUCAUGGCCCGCAGCCCAUCUCCCACGGAGCCCGCCGAGACACGGAAUCGAUCCACUGGCGUGGUCGCAGGUGGGCUCUGCUCCGCUCCCCUGCCCGAGCUUCCCCCUCUGCCCUACGGCCACCGGCGUGCCGUGAUAUCGAGCAAGGGGCAGUGGGGUUCGGGAGUGGGGCACACCGCCGCUGCCCGCCAGCGGAGCGGCCCCGGAGCCCCGCUCGGGGUGCUGCCGGGACUGGGGAUGUGCCGGGCUUAGAGACGCGAGGCCGACGAAGGGGCUCUCUCCCCGCUGCCUCACCCGGAACAGCCUCGCCACCCCCAGCACGCCGGCCCCCACUGAGAGCUGACAUGGACACAAACCUGUUUCUAAACGCUAUCAUUUCUCUCCCGGCCAUCCCGCCUUCAACGGAGCCGCAUCCUAAGACCGGCGGCCUCGCGGGGCUCCGCGGCUGGGCCCGAGCGACCCUACGGGACCCCCGGCAGCCCGGCUCCGAAAACUGUGGCCUCCCUCUCUUUUGCUUCCCUUCCCACCAACCUUUCUUCGCUCUCAUUUUCUUACACAGAAAUAGCCUCGCCGGAGCUUUCCUCCAGCUUGCCCUGAAGCGCGACCUGCCGUGCCACCCUCCGCUCCGGGGUAGGGGGUUCUUCCCUGGAGGAGGUGCCCCCACAGAAGCGGCGCAAAUGCACGGCAGACCCCGAGCCCCUUCUCGUGCCUUCAGGUGCUCGCCUUGCCUCUCACAACCGAGCCGGCCUCGGCAACGCGAGCAGCCCAGGAGCUCUGACCUCGCGCAGGAAAAGGAACGAAAAACAUUUUAUUGUCCUAAAAACAGGCCGCGGGGCUCCCGCCUCCCCUUCUGCCGCCCGACACGGCCUGAGAGAGACCACAGGGAGACGGCGGCGGGGCCGCAGCGGGGCAGGCCAGGCACCACGCGUGUGCCAGCGCGGCCGUGA
rnacentral:lncRNA from 1 species